rnacentral:rRNA from 1 species
GGGCCCGCACAAGCAGCGGAGCGUGUGGUUUAAUUCGAGGCUACACGAAGAACCUUACCUGGGUUUGACAUAGCGGUGGUAGUGAACCGAAAGGGGAACGACCUUCGGGAGCCGUUACAGGUGCUGCAUGGCUGUCGUCAGCUCGUGCCGUGAGGUGUUCGGUUAAGUCCGCAAACGAGCGCAACCCUCGGCGUUAGUUACAAGUGUCUAACGCGACUGCCCGUGAGAAACGGGAGGAAGGUGGGGAUGACGUCAAGUCAGCAUGGCCUUUAUAUCCAGGGCUACACACACGCUACAAUGGGCGGUACAAUAGGUUGCCAAGCCGCGAGGUGGAGCCAAUCCUAAAAGCCGUUCGUAGUUCGGAUUGCAGGCUGCAACUCGCCUGCAUGAAGUCGGAGUUGCUAGUAACCGCGCGUCAGCCAUAGUGCGGUGAAUACGUUCCCGGGCCUU